CGUAUCUGACAUUUGUUUUGACUUUUGGCUGUUUGGAUCUUCCAUGAUGCAUUUGAGAAUUUUGCAAUGUGUGGACAACUUGCAAACAAAGAGGGAAAAAAAAAAAGUCAUCAAAUGAUCCAGUCUGUCAUCUGAGCCUUGUCUAGACCUGUGCCUUUAAAAUAAACAAACUCCAAGAAGAAAAUCAAUACCUUAGGUGGAAGAAUUCAUGCAUUUCAGAGCUUCAGUGAUAAACUCUCGUUUUCAAGAGAGGAGCUUCUGCCAACAGAGAGAGAAUAUGUAAAUCUUGUUUUAAGAAACAGUUUUGACCUGGGUGAUAGAACUAAAAGGAAGAAUUCUUUCCU
rnacentral:lncRNA from 1 species